rnacentral:lncRNA from 1 species
AGGAGGGAGGUGAUGUUGGGAGGGGGGUAUUCACAGGGCAGCGCUGUAGGUUUCUAGAGCUCCAGCUAGACCAGGUGACAGUGCGAGCAAGUGAAGAAACGGUCUCGGCAGCCUGGCCGGACCCAGAUCCUCAUGCUGCACUGCCGCACAGCAUCUGACGUCGAAGCGGGCGAGCGCACGAGGUGUUUGUCGGCUCUACUGCUAGCCACACUUCGCUCAAAUUGACCGUAUAUCGCCUCGCUUAAAUCGCCUUGCCACCGCCUACCUCGCCCUCUUCUCCCUGUCUCCUCUGUUUCUGACGCCGCGUCCCUCCAGCGCGAAGAGGAGAAGGGGAGGAGGAACCCGAGGAGGUGACAAGCUUAUCCAAGUAGAGGUCGAGCAAAGACACCGUAGGUCACAUCCCUGUGAUGCCUAUUUUACCACAAGUCAAAGCCAUUUUUUGAGACACGGAAAUUUACUUUACUUUACCCAGCGAGUGCAAAGCGGCUUUCCCCAAUAAACUCAUAUGUAACGCUCGGGAGCAUGUGGAAGGAAACGCAGCAAAAGAAACCAACAACGUGUAAGUAUGUAAAGUUUGAAAAUAAUGGACUUACCUCAGGUAGAGCUGAAGUAUGAGCAGCACAAGGAAGUUGAUUCGGUUCUAUGGAGUCGUUUUCCCUCGCACUUGCAUCGAGUAACGUGGCGCUCCGGCCGUAAGAAAGACACGCCUCCUGUUGGAUCGCAGGACUCACUGCUAAAAGUAAGAGUCAGGGAUUUCAGCCCAGACACGCACGUGGACAUCUGCAACGAGCGCGAGUUCCGUGCUGUGAUGCAGGCUGCUGAAGUCUGAGUCUGAAUCCUCCCAGUUCAAGCUGCAGGUUGGUGAAAUGUCAUGAUCUCUAUAGGAGACAAUGUACAGUAUGAUGCCCUUAAUGAAAUAGUAAUAUAAAUGGUCAGCAUGAAUUCCUUACAUGUAUACUGUACUUUAAAUCAUUUGGAGUGUAGCUAAAUUUUGAAUUAUGACAAGUGAAUCAAAACUUGCAGCUGAACAUAAAGCACAAGUAGGAUGUCACUGGGUGUUUGCUGCAGAGGAGCAGGUUGCUGAAAGAUUAAACCUGGAGACUGGGGAACCACUGAUUACUGUAGAUAGGAUGCAAUUUGAUAUGCAUUUGUGACAAGCUGUGUAGACUUACAGUAUACACAUGGAGUGUGGUUCAAAUAACUGCUAAAUGGUUCAUUAGUAGAUGGGUGUUAAGAUUGGAAACAGACCUCAGUUUGUUAGUUUGGGAUAUUUAUCAAUCAUUCAUCCAUAUCAUAUCAUAUCAAAAAUGAUCAUAUCCAUAUCAUAUCUUAUAAAAAAUGAAGUCCCUAUGAAGCCCCUUUUGCAUAAAGAGUAAAACACAGGGUAUAUUGUAAAUGUAAACACUGAGUGGCCAUUGUUGUGCAGGGAUCAGUUGAUAGAGUUGUAGAGUUGAAGAGGCAGUUUCUUUAUAACAAUGCACAGCAAAGCCUUUUAUUCAUAGCACUGUCAAGUUUAGUAGUAAUUCACUGUCAAGGUUUACAGUUUAAAUGCUACUGUAUCAUGAGACAAUU